rnacentral:rRNA from 1 species
GACGAACGCUGGCGGCGUGCUUAACACAUGCAAGUCGAACGGUGAAGCGCCUUCCUUUCUGGUGGGUGUGGAGGAGUGGCGGACGGGUGAGUAACACGUGAGUAACCUGCUCCCUUCUUCUGGAUAACCGCAAGAAAGUGUGGCUAAUACGGGAUAUUCUGGGUCGGUCGCAUGAUUGGUCUGGGACAGAUAUUGUUUCGGUGGGGGAUGGGCUCGCGGCCUAUUAGCUUGUUGGUGGGGUGAUGGCCUACCAAGGCGGCGAUGCGUAGCCGGCCUGAGAGGGGGGUCGACGGCAACACUGGGACGGCGCGACGGAGACUACUCCGGCGGGCGGCAGCAGUGAAGAUUAUGGCACGAUGGGGGGAAGGCUGGUGCAGCGCCGCCGCGUGGAGGAUGGAGGCCGGAGGGUUGUGAACCUCUUUCGGGAGAGAAGCAAGCCUUCCUUGUCUGUGCGUGUGUUGACGGUAGCUGAACAGGAAGCGCCGGCUAACUACGUG